UACAGAGGUGGCAAGCGUUGUUCGGAAUUACUGGGCGUAAAGGCGCGUAGGCGGCCUUCUAAGUCUUGUGUGAAAUCCCUCGGCUCAACUGAGGAACUGCACGGGAUACUGGAUGGCUUGAGUUCGGGAGAGGGAAGCGGAAUUCCUGGUGUAGCGGUGAAAUGCGCAGAUAUCAGGAGGAACACCGGUGGCGAAGGCGGCACUCUGGGCCGGUACUGACGCUGAGGAGCGAAAGCGUGGGGAGCGAACAGG
rnacentral:rRNA from 1 species